UUUUUUUUUUUUUUUUUUUUUAAACAAAGGUAGAAACUUGGACUGUCAGAGCUUUUAGGGUGGAGUCAAGUAUUUACAGUCACCAUGGGCAACCCUAAAAGUGCUCUCCUGACCCCAGGAAAGCAGAGCGAGCCAACAGGGUCAGGCUUAAGAAAUGACCCGAAUUUCCCCAUGAGCCUUCUCUGCCCAAUGUUUUGAAGUCUGAAGCAUCAGACUGUGACAAUCCACACUUUUUAAAAAAGAUUUUUAAAAAUUAUAGUUGAUUUACAGUGUUGUGCCAGUUUCUGCUGUACAGCACAGUGACCCAGUCAUGCACACGUAUCUAUGCAUUCUUUUUCUCAUGUUAUCUUCCAUCAUGGUCUGUCCCAAGAGACAGGAUAGAGUUCCCCGCGCUAUACACAGCAGGAACUCAGUGCACCCACUCCAAAUGGAGCAGUUUGCAUCUACCAAGCCCUGGCUGGGGCAGAGGGGUGGCUGGCCUGACAUCCUCGGGGCAGGCUCCCACCUGGGGAGCUUCCUAGGUACAGGACAGAGUCGCCUCGGGGGAGGUGCCACUGUGAGAAGGGACUGGUGGUCUUGAUCACAGAGAGAAAGCAUUCCUGGUUAGUCCUUUAAAAUACCUCUUUUGGCAUUUGAUGGUGGUCUAGAAAGUGCAGAAGAAAAAGUUGUAGCCCUUUGGGAGUGACUUAAAUUACACGAGAAGCAGCCAAGCCUUGCGUGCACCUGCUGUCACUUGUUCUUUUGCUGUCUUUGUGCUGCCACCUAGAGAGAAAGGAAAACAGAUGUUGUCUCCUGGGGAGGACAGUCCCAAGGACCGCACGCACCUUCCAGAACAGAAAAGCAAGGCUGCCUUAGUCCUGAGGUCUAAGGCAGCUGUGCAUUUUUGCUUUGAAGAGAAGCCCUCAGGCACAGGAAGAGGAUUCUGUUGGUGACCUCACUCUAGGGCUGACGUUAGGUUCCCAGACAGAGGGUGGGAGAGAGGGGGGUUCUCCUUCCAGGGUUCAAAGGGUGGGAAAUACAGAAUAAAGUUAGGUUGCCCAAACUCAUGGAAUGGACACCUUCAGUUUAGAAAAAAAAAAUGAAAAUACAAGACACACAUGAAAAAAAUGGUUCUAGGAUGAGUAAUUCUUUUUUUUCCUCUUUCUAUGACCGCACCUGUGGCAUAUGGAAGUUCCCAGCUAGAAUCAGAGCUGCAGCCACGUGGGAUCCAAGCUGCAUCUGCAACCUACACCACAGCUCACGGCAACGCUGGAUCCUUAACCCACGGAGAGAGGCCAGGGAUCGAACCCGAGUCCUCAUGGAUGCUAGUCGGGGUCGCUCACCACUGAGCCAUCAUUCAUCUUGGAGGUCUUGGACGGGAACUCUAAGAUGAAUAAUCCUUAAACUAUUUUGUUUCUCUUUCCCUUAUGGAGAUCCAGUGUGUAAGAAACCAGAGACUUGCCGGUGGAAGUGGUAGUUCUUAACACCCCCACGGAGUUAGUGUUCUCCUGAGUGCUGGGUUCUUGCUGAGGACAAUUUCAAAUGUAAUUUUUUCCGGAGCUGUAAGUUAUCAAAAAUGAUAUUGAUGGAUAUCAAAUUUUGAUGCCAUGAUGCAGAUGAGCUGUGACAGAGGUCUGCAGGUCCCCGCUGGUACAGUGGGUUAGGUACCUGGUGUUGUCACUGCUGUGGUUCAGUCCCUGGCCUGGGAGCUUCCUCAUGCUGCAGGUAUGGCCAAAAAAAGACAAACAAACAAAAAAAACAAAACAACAGAGGUUAGACCUUCCCCGACCAGCCACUUGCCAGGACUCUGUCUUCCUUCCUGUGGCUUCUUCCACAGCCCCCAACAAUACUUGACAACCCAUCUAUCUGCCCCCUAGAGCAGAAACUUCUCGAAGGCAGGUUCUUUUGUCCACCAUGUGGACAGCUGCACUUCUAAUGCCUAGACCAACAUCUGGCACACAGCAGGUACUCCGUAUAUGUUCUUAAAAGAAUCAGGGAAUCUAAGCUUAUUCUUUGGCUUUUUUCUUUUGAAAGAACUAAUAACUUGGAGUUCCUGUCGUGGUUCAGUGGAAACAAAUCUGACAAGUAUCUAUGAGGAUGCAGGUUCGAUCAGACGUUGACAUGAGAGCUGUGGUGGGUUAGGGAUCUGGCAUUGACAUGAGCUGUGGUGUAGGUCACAGAGGCAGCUCAGAUCUGGCAAGGCUGAGGCCUGUGGGACCCUCAAAAUACCAUUUACUAAUGAAAGUACUGUUAAAAAAAAAAAAAAAAGAGCUGACAGCUGAAUUAAAGACUUGACAUGCAAAUGCACCAGCUAAGUAGAAGCAGAAGCUUUCCUGGAAUUCUGGCCCACACGGCUGAGGAUAAAUUGACCUGCAGAAUUCAUUAGGAAAAGAGCAAGAUGAAGCAGAAUCACUCUGACUUUCCCAGUCUUUCCAUUAAAAGACUGUUGAAGGAUAAAUGGCCAUAGAGCUAUGCACACAAUGAUAAGGAUAAAAACCUCAGGGAGGCGAAGAGCAGAGAGGGCUGAGCUUCAGGGUGGAGCGGCAGCGGGCGCUCGGCCACUGAGUCUGGGUGACCUCACUCUGACCAUCUGCAAAACAGGGCCACAGCCCUUUCCCGUCUACCUUAGAGGAUUGUUGUAAAGAUGGAUUUAACGACUGAUACGGGAUUGCUGUACGAACUGUAAAGCGUUACUAAACAUCAGGCACUUUUCGUCCAUCUGGUGACCCUGAGGAGUCUAUAAACUGGAGAAGUGUAUAAAUCUUUGUGUUAAAAGGUAUAUGAAUCUAGGAGUUUCCUCUGUGGCUCAGCGGUUAGCGAACCUGACCAGCAUCCAUGAGAACACGGGUUUGAUCCCUGGCCUUGCUCAGCAGGUUAGGGAUCCGGCAUUGCCGUGAGCUGUGGUGUAGGUCACAGACGCUGCUUGGAUCUGGCGUGGCUGUGGCUGUGGCGCAGGCUGGUGGCUACAGCUCCGAUUGGAUCCCUUGCCUGGGAACCUCCACAUGCUGCGGGUGUGGCCCCAAAAAGAUUUAAAAAAAAAAAAAUGAGUGUGAGUCUAAUCAUUUCUUCCUUAUUCAUCGAGGCCGAAGCCUGUGGACAUCUUCCAAGGACACUAAAAAAAGAAAAGAGCCUUUCACUUGCCUUUCUGACCAGAGCUCCUUGUCCUCCACCAAGAGGUUGAACUGUAUAACUCAGCUAACUCUGGAGAUCUCCAAAUUUUGGAUUAGUCUUGGAGAAAGGGCUGUUUGGGGAAAAAUAUGUGAUACAGGCAGCUAGUCAAGUUAGAUCAACUUUAAGAAUAGAGAAAGUCAGAGUUCCCUGGUGGCCUAGCGGUUAAGGACCUGGUAUUCUCACUGCUGUGGCAUGGGUUUGACCCUUGGCCUGGGAACUUCUGCCUGCCAUGGGUACAGGAAGACCCCAUGGCACAAAGAAAGAACAGAGAAAGUCAGUCCUAACCUAUGUGAAGAGGCUAAGGGGUGACUUAAAUCUGCCGAGAGGUGACUUUCCAGGAUGUAACAAAAGUCACAGUUCGGGCCUCUGGGAAAAGGGAAUUAGUUUGGUGCAGAGAGUCUGGAAGUCAGCAGUCCUGAGUUUAGGCUCUGGCUUAGUUAUUUAUUAGCUGUGUGACCUUGGGCAAAUAAGAUGACCUUACAUUUUUUCAACUGUAAAAUGAGAGAGAUAGUACCAAUUAUGCCACAUGGAUUCUGCAAGGAUUUUCAACACAGGAAUGCAUGUGAAAAUUGCUUAAAAUUGCAAAGCACUUUGUCAGUCUUUGUAAUUGUUUUCCAGGAAUUGUGUGCUUUGCAUUUCUUUCCAUGCCAAGGUCAAUGUAAUCUAUGGAAAAAGAAGAAAAGACACAAAUAUGUACCAGGAACACAAUAGCCAGUGCUGGUGUAUUUCCUUCCUAGUGAAGCAGAUGAGAGAAUCCACUUAAGGACUGAGGAAGGCCUGAGACACGGUCGCCCUGGACAGACGCUAAUCUGAGAGCAAACCUCUCGACUGUGACACCGGAGGUCGGCUCCCGGGGAGCAGCGACCCCAGGGCAGGACAUAAAUGACCCGACCCAGUGACCUCAUCUCCCAUGGAAGCCAGGACGCCAGGCCAGCCAUGCCAGUGCUUUGUCCAUGGGUCAGAGGUAGGGCGGGAUUGGGAUCACGAUCAGGUCUAAAUCCAGCUCCUUGAAAUGAACUGGACUUUUUCGACCAAAUUCAUUUACCCUUUUUCCCCUUCAUUUUUGACCACCACAUGGCAUGUGGCGUUCCCAGGCCAGGGAUCAGAUCCAAGCUGCUGUUAAGCCACAGCUGCAGCAACACCGAAUCCCUAACCCACGGUGCCGGGCCGGCAUCACACUUGUUCCCAAGAUGCUGCUGAUCUCAACACAGCAGGAACCCCUAUUUCACUUUUUAAAAGUAAACUUUCUAGUUCAGUUUGAAAUCUGGCUGGUCAUUUUUCACUUCAUUCGCAAUUUUAAGGAUUACAUCAUCGGCUUACUGUCACUGAUGUAGGUUUGCAUGCAUAUUUAGGUAGUAAAUGAAUACCCUGUAUAUUGAGGUAGUAAAUGAGUGCAUCUGAGCAUCUCCCUGCCCAAGUGCCUUUGUGUCUGGCUAAGGCUCCGCGUGAGAAACGACGACAGCGCUAAACCAGACCCCGGCCAGUGGAACACAGCUCCUCUCCCAUCCACGUUAAACCCGAUGGAAGGGAAUCUCCUCGGGCGGUGGAACCAGAGAAGCUCCUGGAAGAUGGGAGAGCCUGAGAGUCUGAGUACAAGGAAAAUGUAGGUCGGAGACAAACCAGACACAAAAAAGGAAAGAAUGAUGCUGGUCGGAGAUGAGUUUCAGAAAUACGUGAGGUUUGAUGAAAAUGACGGAGGCUCUUGUGUGUGUUCGCAAGUGAUUCUGGAGCCUGCAGAAACUUCUGGAAGCUUUCUCUAAACUCAGGACAUUAAUCAAAAAGAUAAAUGAUGUGAGCAAGAGUGGGCCACAGGAGGUGAGUAAGGUCCAAUGCGCCAAUGUUUGGUGUAUAAAGUCUAAAAAGGCUCUCGUCUGAAAUUCUUCAAGGAAUUUGAAAGAAGGAUAGGAUGUAUAUGUGUAUAUGUGUAUGCGUGUGUGUAUAUGUAUAUACGUUUGUGGGUACUUAUGUGUAAAUGCGCACGUGUCUGUAUGUCAGUGUGUGUGUGUGUAUAUACACACACAUAUAUAUAUAUACAGUGUGUGUGUCUCUGUAAGCCCACAUUGAUUUGUUCCUCAUAUUAUUCCCCAAAAGAACACUUGGAAUGCGUGACAUGUUUAUAUAUUUGUUUGUUUGUCUUUUUAGGGCUGCACCUGCCGCAUAUGGACAUUCCCAGGCUGGGGGUCAAGUCAGAGCUGCAGCUGCAUCUUCGACCUACACCACAGCUCAUUGCAACGCUGGAUCCUCAACCCACUGAGCAAGGCCAGGGAUCCAGUCCGAGGCCUCAUGGAUCCUAGUUAGGUUCCUUACCACUGAGCCACCAUGGGAACUCCGAGAGACACCUUUAGUUUCAUUCUUCCAUCACUGUUCAACUCCUAGUUCACAGCUCACAUUGCAAGUAACGUUAGGAACGUCAUCUUGACGUCAAAGGUAAAGUCAAGCAUGGAAGACAGGGGCUCCUAGCGGCUCAGUGGGUUGGGGGUCCGGCAUUGUCUCGGUUGUGGCUCUGGUUUACUGCGGUGGCAAGGGUGCGAUCCCUAUAGCCCGGGAAACCAUGGGAGAUUAUAAAAGUGACGACUUCCCAGAUGCCCAUUUAAUCUCUAGCUAAGUCACGUGAGCGCCUGUUUAAAGUUCCUGGAAUCUAAUGUACAGCACAGUGACUGGAGUUAAUAAAACUGUAUCGUAUACUUGAGAUUUGCUGAGAUCAGACCUUUCGUGCUCCCGUCUCUCUCACACACACACACACACACACACACACACACACACACACACACACACACACGGCAAAUAUGGGAGGUGAUAACUGUGUUCGUUAGCUUGGUUGUAAUAAUCAUUUCACACUGCAGAUGCAUGUCAAAACAUCGCACUGUAUAACCUAAAUAUACAUACAUCUUUAUUUGUCAGUUAUACCUAAUAAAGCUGGAAAAAAUAUAAACUUCUGGGACGGCGAGGCGUUUACAUAGACCACAUAUUAUCCUCAAACUUCAAUAAUUUAGGUCGUGGGCUUGAUAUAAAUAAUUUCUAAAUGCGACGUAAAAGCAAAUUUACUAACCUCACCACAGGUGCAAACAACGUCCUCUAACUUCAGAUGUUCUGACCCAGCUAAAGUGACUACGGUGAACGCAGUUGAAUCAACCAACAGAAGGAAAUUCACAGCGCUUUAUCCGCAGAGGUUGAAGAUUACAUCUGUUUCUUUCUAUUAAGCCCACACAAGGAGGUCACGAAUGAGUGUAUGAAAAUGUCUUUGGACGGCAAAUUCAAGAGCACCCAGGCAACCCACUGGGAGUGAACCCUGAAUUUCAAAGUUCAGCUGCAAGCUGCCAAGGGCCCCAGUGUGCUUCUGCGUGUGGAACACUGAGGCGUCCCGUGCAGAUGGACUGACGGAUCGUUGUCGCAUGCCCUGAUAGAAGGCCCACUUUGCGCAGCCCCAUGUUAGGUGCUGUGGGCCUCAUGGUGACCCAGUCAGGCCAGGGUCUGUGAAGAGGGUGCAGCAGGAAGAUGGGAUGGACAGUGACCGAUUGCGGGGGGGUUGGAGGUAGGUGAGGAAGGUCAGGACGUGCCUCUCUAAAAAAGUGACGUUCAAGAUAAGACUUAAACUACGACAUGAUGGGACUAAUCAUGUGAAGCUCUGGAGGAAGUGGAUAAAAGACACACCAGUCACACAAAGGCACCGAUGUGGAGACAGCAUGGCAUACUCAGGGACCCAAAAGAAGGUCAGAGAAUAGCUUAGACAUUUGGAAAGACCAAGGGGGAUUAAGAUCCUGACCUUGACCCGUGGGGGGAAAAAAGUCAAGUCUCAGCUAAUGAGGACACUAGUUAGAUGAUUUAUUCAUCUACCAGGUACCAGCAUUUACCAACUGCAUACUCUGCCCAGCAGUGAACAAGACACGAACUUGAACAGUGCAUUGUUCCUGCUGUUAAGGGGCUAAGCUUCAGGAGGGGUGAUAAUUCAAGUUUCAAUAGCCUUUCUCUCUUCCCUUGCCUGUGGGGUUGGGUGUCCCUAUUCUGGCUCCUAUGGCCUCCUGCCCUACAUCCACAGCUGUUGUGGGGAUUAAUGAGUUAUAUGUAAAAUGCUCAGAAUAGUGUCAAGCGCAUAAAUCCUAUACUGUGUGGGUUGCUAUUAGUAUUACUGUUAUUAGUAUUAAGAAAUGAUCACAUGAGGAACAGGACAGCACAAUUUCAAGGUAUCUCAAACAACGUUAGGCAUUUGACAAAAUAACUGGCCAUUACUCUCAAAGUGUCAAGGUCAUCAGAAUACUAAGAAAGACUGAGAGACAAAUUAGAAAAAAGAAAAGCGAUAUGCAAAAUAAAUGCAACAUGGAAGGAUGAAUUGGAUCCUGGAAUAGAAAAACAUUAGUGUAAAAAUAGAUGAAGUUCAAAAUGUGGUCAAUUGGUUAAUAAUAUUGUAUUAAUUGUAAAUUUCCUGGUUUUGAUAAUUGUACUGCUUAUGUACAGUUAGCGGGGUGAAGGGUAAACUCAACUCUUUACUGUUUCACAACUUUUCUGUAACUUUAAGAUUAUUUCAAAAUAUAAAAGUAAAGACAAAAUAAAAGACAGAAAUAGGCACAGAAAUGUCAGAGAUGUUGGAACCAGAAGACAAGAACGUUUUAACUACAGUGAAUUACCGAAGGAAGGCACAAUGAGGAGACAAUGGGAAGACAUAAAAAGAACCAAAUGGAACAUCUAGGACUGAAAAUUCCAGUAUAUAAAAUAAAAGCUCACUAACUGCAAAACAGAAUGAAACUACAAGAAGAAGCAAAUUGAAAACAAAGAGAAAUUCAGUGACAGGACCUGUGGGACAUCAAGUGGUUGGCAUACAAGUAACUGGCAUACAAAAGAUGCCAAGAUGAGGAGAAAAGGGGGGUGGGUGAAGAACAGAAAAGUUUUUGUUGUUGUUGUUGUUGUUUUGGGGGCCACACUAGCAGCACGUGGAGGUUCCCAGGCUACGGGUCUAAUUGGAGCUACAGCUGCCAGCCCGCACCACAGCCACAGCAACGUGGGAUCCGAGCUGUGUUUGCGACCUACACCACAGCUC
ensembl:lncRNA